rfam:Agrilus planipennis Contig13222, whole genome shotgun sequence.
AAAUCGGUUCUUCUCAGAACCACAACUUGUUAGUCACACAUCUCU